CCUACGGGAGGCAGCAGUGAGGAAUAUUGCUCAAUGGCCGUAAGGCUGAACCAGCCAAGUCGCGUGAAUGAAGAAGGAUCUAUGGUUGGUAAACUUCUUUUAUAGGGGGAUAAAGGUAUCCACGUAUGGAUAUUUUCAUGUACCCUAUGCAUAAACCUCGCCUCACUCCGUGCCAGCAGCCGCGGUAAUACGGAGGAUGCGAUCGUUGUCCGGAUUUAUUGGGUUUAAAGGGUGCGUAGGUUGUUUUUUAAGUCAGCGGUGAAAGUUUGGGGCUCAACCAUAGAAUUGCCGUUGAAACUGGAAGACUUGAGUGUGUUAGAGGUAGGUGGAAUGCGUGGUGUAGCGGUGAAAUGCAUAGAUAUCAGGAAGAAUUCCGAUUGCGAAGGCAGCUGACUAAGCCAUAACUGACACUGAAGCACGAAAGCGUGGGGAUCAAACAGGAUUAGAUACCCGUGUAGUC
rnacentral:rRNA from 1 species